rnacentral:rRNA from 1 species
CCUACGGGAGGCAGCAGUGAGGAAUAUUGGUCAAUGGGCUUACGCCUGAACCAGCCAAGUCGCGUGAGGGAAGACUGCCCUAUGGGUUGUAGACCUCUUUUGUCAGGGAGCAAUUGGCGCUACGUGUAGCGUUAUCGAGAGUACCUGAAGAAAAAGCAUCGGCUAACUCCGUGCCAGCAGCCGCGGUAAUACGGAGGAUGCGAGCGUUAUCCGGAUUUAUUGGGUUUAAAGGGUGCGUAGGCGGAAUGCCAAGUCAGCGGUAAAAUCGCGGGGCUCAACCUCGCUCCGCCGUUGAAACUGGCGUUCUUGAGUGGGCGAGAAGUAUGCGGAAUGCGUGGUGUAGCGGUGAAAUGCAUAGAUAUCACGCAGAACUCCGAUUGCGAAGGCAGCAUACCGGCGCCCAGCUGACGCUGAAGCACGAAAGCGUGGGUAGCGAACAGGAUUAGAUACCCCUGUAGUC